UACGUAGGGUGCGAGCGUUGUCCGGAAUUAUUGGGCGUAAAGGGCUCGUAGGCGGUUUGUCGCGUCGGGAGUGAAAUCCACUGGCUUAACUGGUGGCUUGCUUUCGAUACGGGCAGACUGGAGGUAUGCAGGGGAGAACGGAAUUCCUGGUGUAGCGGUGAAAUGCGCAGAUAUCAGGAGGAACACCGGUGGCGAAGGCGCUGCUCUGGGCCGGUACUGACGCUGAGGAGCGAAAGCGUGGGUAGCAAACAGG
rnacentral:rRNA from 1 species